GCAAACUUGGUCAUUUAGAGGAAGUAAAAGUCGUAACAAGGUAACCGUAGGUGAACCUGCGGUUGGAUCAUUAGUAAUAAUGAUGACAUACCUGAACCCUCGGGUUUGGGGAGUCACUUCAACCUCUGUGCACUGUAAUUGUAUCGGGUCUAGGCAGAGUCGCUCUACUAGCUAGUAGCGGCAGAAGUUUAGGCCCAAAAACGGUCUCGACCGUAUAAACCACUGUUUUUAUUUUGACUGACUUUUGUAUUCGAAAGAAUCAAUUACAACUUUUAACAAUGGAUCUCUUGGCUCACGCAUCGAUGAAGAACGCAGC
rnacentral:misc_RNA from 1 species